GGGUUGUGAGGUUAAGCGACUAAGCGUACACGGUGGAUGCCCUGGCAGUCAGAGGCGAUGAAGGACGUGCUAAUCUGCGAUAAGCGUCGGUAAGGUGAUAUGAACCGUUAUAACCGGCGAUUUCCGAAUGGGGAAACCCAGUGUGUUUCGACACACUAUCAUUAACUGAAUCCAUAGGUUAAUGAGGCGAACCGGGGGAACUGAAACAUCUAAGUACCCCGAGGAAAAGAAAUCAACCGAGAUUCCCCCAGUAGCGGCGAGCGAACGGGGAGCAGCCCAGAGCCUGAAUCAGUGUGUGUGUUAGUGGAAGCGUCUGGAAAGGCGCGCGAUACAGGGUGACAGCCCCGUACACAAAAAUGCACAUGCUGUGAGCUCGAUGAGUAGGGCGGGACACGUGGUAUCCUGUCUGAAUAUGGGGGGACCAUCCUCCAAGGCUAAAUACUCCUGACUGACCGAUAGUGAACCAGUACCGUGAGGGAAAGGCGAAAAGAACCCCGGCGAGGGGAGUGAAAAAGAACCUGAAACCGUGUACGUACAAGCAGUGGGAGCACGCUUAGGCGUGUGACUGCGUACCUUUUGUAUAAUGGGUCAGCGACUUAUAUUCUGUAGCAAGGUUAACCGAAUAGGGGAGCCGAAGGGAAACCGAGUCUUAACUGGGCGUUAAGUUGCAGGGUAUAGACCCGAAACCCGGUGAUCUAGCCAUGGGCAGGUUGAAGGUUGGGUAACACUAACUGGAGGACCGAACCGACUAAUGUUGAAAAAUUAGCGGAUGACUUGUGGCUGGGGGUGAAAGGCCAAUCAAACCGGGAGAUAGCUGGUUCUCCCCGAAAGCUAUUUAGGUAGCGCCUCGUGAAUUCAUCUCCGGGGGUAGAGCACUGUUUCGGCAAGGGGGUCAUCCCGACUUACCAACCCGAUGCAAACUGCGAAUACCGGAGAAUGUUAUCACGGGAGACACACGGCGGGUGCUAACGUCCGUCGUGAAGAGGGAAACAACCCAGACCGCCAGCUAAGGUCCCAAAGUCAUGGUUAAGUGGGAAACGAUGUGGGAAGGCCCAGACAGCCAGGAUGUUGGCUUAGAAGCAGCCAUCAUUUAAAGAAAGCGUAAUAGCUCACUGGUCGAGUCGGCCUGCGCGGAAGAUGUAACGGGGCUAAACCAUGCACCGAAGCUGCGGCAGCGACGCUUAUGCGUUGUUGGGUAGGGGAGCGUUCUGUAAGCCUGCGAAGGUGUGCUGUGAGGCAUGCUGGAGGUAUCAGAAGUGCGAAUGCUGACAUAAGUAACGAUAAAGCGGGUGAAAAGCCCGCUCGCCGGAAGACCAAGGGUUCCUGUCCAACGUUAAUCGGGGCAGGGUGAGUCGACCCCUAAGGCGAGGCCGAAAGGCGUAGUCGAUGGGAAACAGGUUAAUAUUCCUGUACUUGGUGUUACUGCGAAGGGGGGACGGAGAAGGCUAUGUUGGCCGGGCGACGGUUGUCCCGGUUUAAGCGUGUAGGCUGGUUUUCCAGGCAAAUCCGGAAAAUCAAGGCUGAGGCGUGAUGACGAGGCACUACGGUGCUGAAGCAACAAAUGCCCUGCUUCCAGGAAAAGCCUCUAAGCAUCAGGUAACAUCAAAUCGUACCCCAAACCGACACAGGUGGUCAGGUAGAGAAUACCAAGGCGCUUGAGAGAACUCGGGUGAAGGAACUAGGCAAAAUGGUGCCGUAACUUCGGGAGAAGGCACAGCUGAUAUGUAGGUGAAGCGACUUGCUCGUGGAGCUGAAAUCAGUCGAAGAUACCAGCUGGCUGACGACUGUUUACUAAAAACACAGCACUGUGCAAACACGAAAGUGGACGUAUACGGUGUGACGCCUGCCCGGUGCCGGAAGGUUAAUUGAUGGGGUUAGCGCAAGCGAAGCUCUUGAUCGAAGCCCCGGUAAACGGCGGCCGUAACUAUAACGGUCCUAAGGUAGCGAAAUUCCUUGUCGGGUAAGUUCCGACCUGCACGAAUGGCGUAAUGAUGGCCAGGCUGUCUCCACCCGAGACUCAGUGAAAUUGAACUCGCUGUGAAGAUGCAGUGUACCCGCGGCAAGACGGAAAGACCCCGUGAACCUUUACUAUAGCUUGACACUGAACAUUGAGCCUUGAUGUGUAGGAUAGGUGGGAGACUUUGAAGUGUGGACGCCAGUUCUGCAUGGAGCCGACCUUGAAAUACCACCCUUUAAUGUUUGAUGUUCUAACGUUGACCCGUAAUCCGGGUUG
rnacentral:rRNA from 1 species